GUCUAUGGCUCUACCACCCUGAACAUGCCCAAUCUUGGCUGAUCUUNGAAGCUAAGCGGGGUUNGGCUUGGUUAGNAAUUGGAUGGGAGAUAGGAAGUGGGCUUCCCCAGGCCACAAACA
rnacentral:rRNA from 1 species